UACGUAGGGCGCAAGCGUUUAUCCGGAAUUACUGGGCGUAAAGCGUGCGUAGGUGGUUUGUUAAGUCUGCUGUGAAAGCCCCGGGCUCAACCUGGGAAUGGCAAUGGAUACUGGCAAGCUAGAGUGCGGUAGAGGGUAGUGGAAUUCCCGGUGUAGCGGUGAAAUGCGUAGAGAUCGGGAGGAACACCAGUGGCGAAGGCGGCUACCUGGACCAGCACUGACACUGAGGCACGAAAGCGUGGGGAGCAAACAGG
rnacentral:rRNA from 1 species